GGGGUUGUGGCUCAGUGGUAGAGCGCUUACCUAGCAUGCACGAGGCCCUGGGUUCGAUCCUCAGCACCA
rnacentral:tRNA from 1 species